UACGAAGGGGGCGAGCGUUGUUCGGAUUUACUGGGCGUAAAGGGCGCGUAGGCGGCCUUCCAAGUCGAGUGUGAAAGCCCCGGGCUCAACCUGGGAGGUGCGCUCGAGACUGGCAGGCUGGAGUUCGGGAGAGGAGCGUGGAAUUCCCAGUGUAGAGGUGAAAUUCGUAGAUAUUGGGAAGAACACCAGUGGCGAAGGCGGCGCUCUGGACCGAGACUGACGCUGAGGCGGCGAAAGCGUGGGGAGCAAACAGGG
rnacentral:rRNA from 1 species